rnacentral:lncRNA from 1 species
CCAGGAUGUCCCCCCACCGCAGCCCCGCCGUGGCCAGGAGGUGUGGGCGGCCACGCCGGAGGGACCCACGGCGGCGCCGGACGCCCGCCCUUCCUAGGCCCUGGCCCGGCCGGGGUGGGCCGGGACGUUCCCUGUUGCAUAGGCAUUUAUUUAUUCAGCAGCUACUACGUGCUGGCCCGCACUGCCGAGGGACCGGACGCCUGCCCCAGGCGGGACAAUGCCGGGUGCAGCGCUGGCGGGGCCUGGACCCCAAGCUUCAGGGUCCCCAGCCCCUCAGUCAGAGGGGGCGCCUCCCAGGCCCUGGACUCCUCUCCAGCCGGGUCUACACCACCGUCCCCCGUCAUCUUCUUCUGGGUUACUGAGCAGCUUCUUUUAAAAUAGCAACACCGGGGAAGGCCCCGAAGCCCAGUCUUGCACCUCGUGGUGUGAAGUCGUUUAAUCCUGCCCGCUAAUGCGCCUGCGAGGAAGUCGCGUGAAGGAGAUUCGCUACUGUGUGAGGCUGGCCUGCGCGGCGUGGGCAGUAGCUGUCCGGGGCUGGGGACAGCUUUUGGCUCCCCAGGCCAUCCCGUCGGGGCAUCUGCGGCCAAUCUCGAAGGUGGAGAGGCUCAGGGUUGGAACAGACUUCACGGAAGGGGUCCUAGAAGAGGAAAGGGGUCGUGUUUGCCCUUAGAGCAGUCUGGGCGUGAAGCGGAAACUUUAAACCACCAGAAACUCUGGAGAGCUUGGAGCACCUGGGAAGGAGCAACCAGAGUGGGCCGGAGGUAGGGAAGGAAGGCACCCACGGCGAAUUUGACCGCAUUUAGGGCGGCCGCUUGUGCAGCCAGCCUUCUGGAAGGUAGGCUUUGCGCUUCGUGAAGAGAAGCCCCCACCUCCGGAUCUGUGUUCCGCCCCAGUCCAUUCAUCAGGAGGUGAUACACAAGUCAAGCUUCUCUAGUUCCCGGUGGAAUGAGACGCCCUGGUGGGGUCUUAAGGUUGAACGUUUGAAUACUGUAAAAAAGAUGGGACCUGCCUACAAUUAAUCUCUCACACUACUGAGCGAAUGUGCGUUGUUUUGGACUUCCCUAAAUUGGCCCAAAUGCAUAGCCAACACUUGAAUUGCGGUGUACUAACAUCAUUCAGCACCAAACCAAACCAUUCUUAUUUAAACCUUGCUUCCUAGCUUAUUUAUUUCCCAAACAACUUGAAAACAUUUGUUAUACUAAAAUGUCUACAUCUUACUAUUAAAAAAAAAACAAAGUAACACACUUUGCUGCUGCCGUAAUUUUAUGUCACUGAGAUGAACUAUUCUACAAUACUUGUAAUUUCAAAUUUGUUAAACUUUCAGCUAAGUAGUUUU